GAAAUGCGAUACUUCCUGUUCCUUUCAUCCUUCCUUUCAUCCUCGCCUCUUUUCCCUCACCUUGCGCUCCUUGGUAUUCCUUGGAGCAUGCCUGUUUGAGUAUCAUGAAAUCUUCAAAGUAACUCUUUUGUUAACUCAAUUGGUUUCUACUUUGGUAUUGGAGGUCUUUGCAGCUUCACACCUGCUCCUCUUUGUUCAUUAGCUGGAUCUCAGUGUUAUGCUUGGUUCCACUCGGCGUGAUAAGUUAUCUAUCGCUGAGGACACUGUAAAAGGUGGCCAAGGUAAAUGCAGAUGAACCGCUUCUAAUAGUCCAUUGACUUGGACAAUACUUUUAUGAUCUGAUCUCAAAUCAGGUAGGACUACCCGCUGAACUUAAGC
rnacentral:misc_RNA from 1 species